GAUGAACGCUGGCGGCGUGCCUAAUACAUGCAAGUCGAGCGAAUGGAUUAAGAGCUUGCUCUUAUGAAGUUAGCGGCGGACGGGUGAGUAACACGUGGGUAACCUGCCCAUAAGACUGGGAUAACUCCGGGAAACCGGGGCUAAUACCGGAUAACAUUUUGAACCGCAUGGUUCGAAAUUGAAAGGCGGCUUCGGCUGUCACUUAUGGAUGGACCCGCGUCGCAUUAGCUAGUUGGUGAGGUAACGGCUCACCAAGGCAACGAUGCGUAGCCGACCUGAGAGGGUGAUCGGCCACACUGGGACUGAGACACGACCCAGACUCCUACGGGAGGCAGCAGUAGGGAAUCUUCCGCAAUGGACGAAAGUCUGACGGAGCAACGCCGCGUGAGUGAUGAAGGCUUUCGGGUCGUAAAACUCUGUUGUUAGGGAAGAACAAGUACCGGAGUAACUGCCGGUACCUUGACGGUACCUAACCAGAAAGCCACGGCUAACUACGUGCCAGCCGCCGCGGUAA
rnacentral:rRNA from 1 species